rnacentral:rRNA from 1 species
CUACGGGAGGCAGCAGUGAGGAAUAGGAUACAAAGGGCGGGAGCCUGAUCCAGCCAUGCCGCGUGCAGGAUGACGGCCCUAUGGGUUGUAAACUGCUUUUAUACGGGAAGAAACGCACCUACGUGUAGGUGUCUGACGGUACCGUAAGAAUAAGGACCGGCUAACUCCGUGCCAGCAGCCGCGGUAAUACGGAGGGUCCGAGCGUUAUCCGGAAUCAUUGGGUUUAAAGGGUCCGUAGGCGGGCCUGUAAGUCAGGGGUGAAAGUUUGUGGCUCAACCAUAAAAUUGCCUUUGAUACUGCAGGUCUUGAGUCAUGGUGGGGUUGCCGGAACAUGUGGUGUAGCGGUGAAAUGCAUAGAUAUCACAUAGAACACCGAUCGCGAAGGCAGGUGACCAACCAUGUACUGACGCUGAUGGACGAAAGCGUGGGUAGCGAACGGGAUUAGAUACCCCGGUAGUCCACGCCGUAAACGAUGGAUACUAGCUGUGGGGACUUCGGUCUCCGUGGCCAAGCGAAAGUGAUAAGUAUCCCACCUGGGGAGUACGUUCGCAAGAAUGAAACUCAG